UAGAGUUUGAUCCUGGCUCAGGAUGAACGCUAGCGACAGGCUUAACACAUGCAAGUCGAGGGGCAGCGGGGAGGUAGCAAUACUUCCGCCGGCGACCGGCGCACGGGUGAGUAACGCGUAUGCGACCUGCCCGUUGCAGGGGGAUAAUCGGGAGAAAUCCCGUCUAAUACCGCGUAAUGCCGCGGGGCUGCAUGGCCCUGCGGCCAAAGGGAGCGAUUCCGGCAACGGAUGGGCAUGCGUGACAUUAGCUAGUUGGCGGGGCAACGGCCCACCAAGGCGACGAUGUCUAGGGGUUCUGAGAGGAAGGUCCCCCACACUGGUACUGAGACACGGACCAGACUCCUACGGGAGGCAGCAGUGAGGAAUAUUGGUCAAUGGGCGCGAGCCUGAACCAGCCAAGUCGCGUGAGGGAUGACGGCCCUACGGGUUGUAAACCUCUUUUGUCGGGGAGCAAAUUCCGUUACGUGUAACGGAGUCGAGAGUACCCGAAGAAAAAGCAUCGGCUAACUCCGUGCCAGCAGCCGCGGUAAUACGGAGGAUGCGAGCGUUAUCCGGAUUUAUUGGGUUUAAAGGGUGCGUAGGCGGACUGUCAAGUCAGCGGUAAAAUACGGGGGCUCAACCUCCGCCCGCCGUUGAAACUGACGGUCUUGAGUGGGCGAGAAGUAUGCGGAAUGCGUGGUGUAGCGGUGAAAUGCAUAGAUAUCACGCAGAACUCCGAUUGCGAAGGCAGCAUACCGGCGCCCAACUGACGCUGAAGCACGAAAGCGUGGGUAUCGAACAGGAUUAGAUACCCUGGUAGUCCACGCAGUAAACGAUGAAUACUAGCUGUCCGGGGCGAAUGAGCCCUGGGUGGCACAGCGAAAGCGUUAAGUAUUCCACCUGGGGAGUACGCCGGCAACGGUGAAACUCAAAGGAAUUGACGGGGGCCCGCACAAGCGGAGGAACAUGUGGUUUAAUUCGAUGAUACGCGAGGAACCUUACCCGGGCUCAAACGACACAGGAACGUACCUGAAAGGGUUCGGCUCUACGGAGCCUGUGUCGAGGUGCUGCAUGGUUGUCGUCAGCUCGUGCCGUGAGGUGUCGGCUUAAGUGCCAUAACGAGCGCAACCCCUGUCCACAGUUGCCAGCAGGUAAAGCUGGGGACUCUGUGGAGACUGCCGGCGCAAGCUGCGAGGAAGGCGGGGAUGACGUCAAAUCAGCACGGCCCUUACGUCCGGGGCGACACACGUGUUACAAUGGCAGGUACAGCGGGAUGCCACGGGGCGACCCGGCGCUGAACCCGAAAACCUGUCUCAGUUCGGAUUGGAGUCUGCAACCCGACUCCAUGAAGCUGGAUUCGCUAGUAAUCGCGCAUCAGCCACGGCGCGGUGAAUACGUUCCCGGGCCUUGUACACACCGCCCGUCAAGCCAUGGAAGCCGGGGGUACCUGAAGUGCGUGACCGCGAGGAGCGCCCUAGGGUAAAACUGGUGACUGGGGCUAAGUCGUAACAAGGUAGCCGUA
rnacentral:rRNA from 1 species